UACGGGAGUGGCAAGCGUUAUCCGGAAUCAUUGGGCGUAAAGCGCCUGUAGGUUGUUUACUAAGUCUGUUGUUAAAGACUAGGGCUUAACCCUAGAAAAGCAAUGGAAACUUGUAGACUAGAGUAUGGCAGGGGUAGAGGGAAUUUCUAGUGUAGCGGUGAAAUGCGUAGAUAUUAGAAAGAACACCAGUGGCGAAAGCGCUCUACUGGACCAUUACUGACACUCAGAGGCGAAAGCUAGGGUAGCAAAAGGGAUUAGAUACCCCUGUAGUCCUAGCCGUAAACGAUGGAUACUAGAUGUUGUGCUUUGUACAGUAUCGUAGCUAACGCGUUAAGUAUCCCGCCUGGGGAGUACGCUCGCAAGGGGG
rnacentral:rRNA from 1 species